rnacentral:ncRNA from 1 species
UUCUCUGAUUGUUUUCGUUACGACUCUUCAUGCAUUUGAGCGCCCAUUUUUGGUAAGUAGAACUGGCGAUGUGGGAUGAACCAAAAUUCGAGUUAUGGUGCCAAAUUACGUGCUAACCCAAAUCCCACAAAGGGUGUUGGUUAAUUAAUAAAGUUGGACGGUGGUCAUGGAAGUCGAAAUCUUCUAAGGAGUGUGUAACAACUCACCUGUCGAAUCAACUAUCCCAAAAUAUGGAUGGCACUGAAGCGUGCAACCUAUACUCAAUCGUCGGAGAAAUUGCAAGGCUUCGAUGAGUAGGAGGACACGGGGGUUGUUGAGAAACAUUGGGCGUGAGCCUGGGUGGACCAGUCCCCGGUG